GUCGGGUGCGAUGGAGUCCCGGUGCUCGAGGAGGAGCCUGUGCGUGGCGAUCAGUUCCCCCGCGGUGAUGUAGAUGACGGGUUUGGCCACCGCCACCAUCUCUGAGUACUCGUCCACGUUGAACCGCUCCUCGGGCUCCGGGACGCGGCAGGCGGCGGCGAUGAACCUCCGGAACUUGCAGUGCGUCUCCUCCAGGUAGCGGUUGGCCCCACACAGGUGUCCGUUCUCCCCCUCGAAGGCCUUCCGCGCGGCCGCGUGCUGCAGCACUUUGGCGAUGGAGCCGAGGCUGCGGCGCUGCUCGGGGCGCAGGGCUGCCCCGGCCGAGACGUCCACGACGUCGAAGCCAUCGGGGGCCACCACCGCCGGGUUCAUGAAGCGGUAGUAGAGGAGGUUCCCCACCACCUUGUCCAGCUCCUCCUCAGAGGCUUCGGGGAACUUCUCAGCCAGGGAUGCCCGCAGGGUUUUGGCCACGUAGCGCAUCCCGUAGGGGAUCUGAUCCACAGAAGAGGUGAUGGCAGAGACGAACUUCUCCGUCACGGCGAGGAGGGCGCGCACGGAGGCGUCCAGGCGGCGCCGCAC
rnacentral:lncRNA from 1 species